rnacentral:rRNA from 1 species
CACGGCAGUGGCCUUCGGGCCAUGAGAGUGGCGGACGGGUGCGUAACGCGUAUGCAACCUGCCUCCGGGGGGGGGAUAGCCUGUAGAAAUGCAGAUUAAUACCCCAUGAGACCACGCGCCGGCAUCGGCGAGGGGUCAAAGGCGCGAGCCGCCUGGAGAUGGGCAUGCGUGACAUUAGCUAGUUGGCGGGGUAACGGCCCACCAAGGCGACGAUGUCUAGCUGGUCUGAGAGGAUGAUCAGCCACACUGGGACUGAGACACGGCCCAGACUCCUACGGGAGGCAGCAGUAGGGAAUAUUGGACAAUGGACGCAAGUCUGAUCCAGCCAUGCCGCGUGUAGGAAGAAGGCCCUCUGGGUUGUAAACUACUUUUGUCGGGGAAUAAACCACCGCUAUACGCGGUGCUGAAGGUACCCGAAGAAUAAGCACCGGCUAACUCCGUGCCAGCAGCCGCGGUAAUACGGAGGGUGCAAGCGUUGUCCGGAUUUAUUGGGUUUAAAGGGUGCGUAGGCGGCCCUGUAAGUCAGCGGUGAAAUCCCAAGGCUCAACCUUGGAAUUGCCGUUGAUACUGCAGGGCUUGAGUCCGACCGAGGUCGUUGGAACGCGUAGUGUAGCGGUGAAAUGCUUAGAUAUUACGCAGAACACCGAUUGCGAAGGCAGAUGGCUAGGUCGGAACUGACGCUGAGGCACGAAAGUGCGGGGAUCAAACAGGAUUAGAUACCCUGGUAGUCCGCACCGUAAACGAUGGAUACUAUGUGUCCGGCCUUUCGGGGCUGGGUGCCCAAAGGGAAACCGAUAAGUA